rnacentral:rRNA from 1 species
UACGAAGGGGGCUAGCGUUGUUCGGAAUCACUGGGCGUAAAGGGCGCGUAGGCGGCUUUAUAAGUCGGGGGUGAAAGCCUGUGGCUCAACCACAGAAUUGCCUUCGAUACUGUAGAGCUUGAGACCGGAAGAGGUGAGUGGAAUUCCGAGUGUAGAGGUGAAAUUCGUAGAUAUUCGGAGGAACACCAGUGGCGAAGGCGGCUCACUGGUCCAUUACUGACGCUGAGGUGCGAAAGCGUGGGGAGCAAACAGG